rnacentral:tRNA from 1 species
GGAGGGAUCGCAUAGCGGCCUAGUGCAACGGCUUGGAAAGCCGUAACCCUAACGGGUUUCGUGGGUUCGAAUCCCACUCCCUCCGCAA